rnacentral:rRNA from 1 species
GACAGAGGGGGCAAGCGUUGCUCGGAAUCACUGGGCGUAAAGGGCGCGUAGGCGGGAUGGCAAGUCAGUCGUGAAAUCUCUCGGCUCAACCGAGAAACGUCGGCUGAUACUGCCGUUCUUGAGGGAUGCAGAGGAGACUGGAAUUCCCGGUGUAGCGGUGAAAUGUGUAGAGAUCGGGAGGAACACCGAUGGCGAAGGCAGCCUUCUGGGCCAACACUGACGCUCAUGCACGAAAGCGUGGGGAGCAAACAGG